UUGUCCCUUCAGAGAAGUCCAAUAAAAUUGGAAUGAUAUGGAGAAUAUUAGCAUGGCCUUUGUGCAAGGAUAACCAUGCAAAUUGAAAAAUGUUCCAAUUUUGU
rfam:Brassica oleracea var. oleracea cultivar TO1000 chromosome C5, whole genome shotgun sequence